CACGUAGGGUGCGAGCGUUGUCCGGAAUUACUGGGCGUAAAGCGCACGUAGGCGGCUUGUUAAGUCGGGGGGUGAAAUCCUGGAGCUCAACUCCAGAACUGCCUUCGAUACUGGCGAGCUCGAGUUCGGGAGAGGUGAGUGGAACUGCGAGUGUAGAGGUGAAAUUCGUAGAUAUUCGCAAGAACACCAGUGGCGAAGGCGGCUCACUGGCCCGAUACUGACGCUGAGGUGCGAAAGCGUGGGGAGCAAACAGG
rnacentral:rRNA from 1 species